rnacentral:rRNA from 1 species
GCAAGGGGAGUGGCAGACGGGUGAGUAACGCGUGGGAACAUACCCUUUCCUGCGGAAUAGCUCCGGGAAACUGGAAUUAAUACCGCAUACGCCCUACGGGGGAAAGAUUUAUCGGGGAAGGAUUGGCCCGCGUUGGAUUAGCUAGUUGGUGGGGUAAAGGCCUACCAAGGCGACGAUCCAUAGCUGGUCUGAGAGGAUGAUCAGCCACAUUGGGACUGAGACACGGCCCAAACUCCUACGGGAGGCAGCAGUGGGGAAUAUUGGACAAUGGGCGCAAGCCUGAUCCAGCCAUGCCGCGUGAGUGAUGAAGGCCUUAGGGUUGUAAAGCUCUUUCACCGAUGAAGAUAAUGACGGUAGUCGGAGAAGAAGCCCCGGCUAACUUCGUGCCAGCAGCCGCGGUAAUACGAAGGGGGCUAGCGUUGUUCGGAAUUACUGGGCGUAAAGCGCACGUAGGCGGAUAUUUAAGUCAGGGGUGAAAUCCCGCAGCUCAACUGCGGAACUGCCUUUGAUACUGGGUAUCUUGAGUAUGGAAGAGGUAAGUGGAAUUCCGAGUGUAGAGGUGAAAUUCGUAGAUAUUCGGAGGAACACCAGUGGCGAAGGCGGCUUACUGGUCC